rnacentral:rRNA from 1 species
GGCUUAGAGUUUGAUCAUGGCUCAGGAUGAACGCUGGCGGCGUGCCUAACACAUGCAAGUCGAGCGAAGCACUUUACUUUGAAUCUUCGGAUGAAGAGUGAUUUGACUGAGCGGCGGACGGGUGAGUAACGCGUGGGUAACCUGCCUCACACAGGGGGAUAACAGUUAGAAAUGACUGCUAAUACCGCAUAAGGCCACAGCACCGCAUGGUGCAGGGGUAAAAACUCCGGUGGUGUGAGAUGGGCCCGCGUCUGAUUAGUUAGUUGGCGGGGUAACGGCCCACCAAGACGACGAUCAGUAGCCGACCUGAGAGGGUGACCGGCCACAUUGGGACUGAGACACGGCCCAAACUCCUACGGGAGGCAGCAGUGGGGAAUAUUGCACAAUGGGGGAAACCCUGAUGCAGCGACGCCGCGUGAGCGAAGAAGUAUUUCGGUAUGUAAAGCUCUAUCAGCAGGGAAGAAAUUGACGGUACCUGACUAAGAAGCACCGGCUAAAUACGUGCCAGCAGCCGCGGUAAUACGUAUGGUGCAAGCGUUAUCCGGAUUUACUGGGUGUAAAGGGAGCGUAGACGGAGCAGCAAGUCUGGAGUGAAAACCCGGGGCUCAACCCCGGGACUGCUUUGGAAACUGUUGUUCUAGAGUGCUGGAGAGGUAAGUG